rnacentral:lncRNA from 1 species
UUGACUUGUUGCUUGAUUUCAUUGAAAUAGAAGUCAUGAAUUGAGGAAAAUUAGUGUUAAAAGGGAAUUUGGGAGUGAAAAUUGAAAACUUGAUAUAAUUGGUGAAUUUUGGUUAGCUUGAUUCAUAGGUUGUUUGACUUGAAAUGAACAUUAAUUGAACUUGAUAGUAUCAUGAUACAUCGAUUGGUUUAGGCAAACAUAAGUUGGGUAGGCAAAGUUUAGAAUUUGUGGCUUUGGUUGAAUGUUGGAAAUUUUGUGGAAUGUUUGAAAUUUUGUUGAAUAGUUUGAUUUUCUCGCACUAAAAAUGUAUUCAUUUGACCGGGAAAUGCCUCGAGGGAUUUGUAUUGAUUUAUUCGGGGAAUGCCCCAAAGUAUCUUGUACUUGGAGGACGUUCGUGAUGAAGGCCCGAGGCAUCGGAUGAGGCAUUAGAGUUUAGUCUAGGAUUAGUUUAGAAUGGGAUUUACAUUUCCGUAUUUUUCUAUUUCAGGACUGUAUAACUUGGACUGGACACCAUAUUUUUAAUUCAUUUUGUUUUGUCUGUUUGUUUGAUUGUUUUACGUGUUUUUGUGUGGUUUGUACAUCGUAGUGCCAAAUUAGCCGAUUCACUCUACCAAGCGACCGUGGUCAAACCACGGGAUCGAGGGGUGCCUAACACCUUCCCCUCGGUCAAUAAAAUUUCUUAACCAAAAUCUUUGUUUGCAAACCAGUUUGAAGAGUCAAAUCAUUUUAAAAAGGAUUUUCCAAAGGUGACUUGGCACACCGGUUUAUGCCAAGUGACGACUCUGAGAUUAAAUAUACAUAAUCCUUUUUCGAAAGAAAUUUUCAUCUUUUGUCACUCAAUAAUAAAAACCCUUUAAAACGAAUCAUAAAAGGGGUGUGAUAGCUCUGGCGACUCCGCUGGGGAUUUUUCAGAAUUCAAGCUUAUUUUGGAGUUGUAUCGGCUUAGUUUGACACUAUAGGUGUAUGAGUAAGUGGAAAGCAAAGCAGCCACUAUCGACCAUACGCUCUCCCGAAAAGCCUUAUUAGUGAAUUCCAACGUAGGUCAACCUUUAGGUUCUGCUUAUGUGCAUCAUAUUGAAGACCUAGCAGGGCCCACUUGGCCCUUUGUAGGAGACUCGCCUCUAAAGCAUCCCUACGUGCUAAAUGUUGCAUCUUUGAAGGUAACGUGGUCAUUUGACAGACUGAUUUGGGCAAAAGCAUGAGUUAGAAGCAAGUGUGUAGGAAGGAAAUUGUUGAAAAAAGGAAGAAAAAAAAGUGUAAAAAAAAAAAGAUUUGGUAGUUUCUAGGGUUUUUUAUGGAUUUUGUUUUUCACAAUUCAAAAAUUAAAAAAAAAAAAGUCUUUUUUUUUACUUUUUGGACUCAUUUCCCAAAUAAUCAAAAACAUUAAAAAAAAAAUUCCUUUCAUUUCUUUAGUAAGCAUUCACAAUUCGAAAACUCCAAAAAAAAAAAAUCCUUUCAAUAGGAGCUUUGUACAUUUUUAUAUAACGAAAAUAUCAAAAAGAUUUUUUCUUUUAUAGUUGUUGGUGUUAGUUUCUAAUUAAAAACCCAAAAAAGAUUUUAUUUUCAUCGUCUGUCUUUAGUUGUGUCUCUCAAUUCGGGGUUUAGUUUGUCAUUUAAUCCUUAAUUGUCCAAUCUGGAUGAACCACGCACCCCUGAUUCUCCUCUUUCGGGAUGUGAGAUACGUAGGCAACCUAUUGUUGGUUCGGGGAUCUUAUUUCAAAAAAUUCAAAAAAUAUUUUCUUCACUCUUCAUUUAGAGUAGGUGUUUCAUAUACAUCUUUAAAAGAAAACUACAAAAAGAUUUUUCUUUAAUAGGUUCAAGUUUCAUUUUCACAUGAAAUUAAAAAAUCGAAAACCCAAAAAGAUUUUUCUUUGAUCAUAGGUUUCAUUUUGUAUAGGGAUGUUAAACCUGAAAAAUUCAAAAAGAUUUUUGUCAAUUAUUUUAACAAUUUGUUAUUUUCUUUUCUUCUUAAAGUUCAACAAAAAGAGUUUAAUUAGCCAUUUUGGCAAGACUUCACGAACUACGCACACCUGAUUCUCCUCUUUCGGGAUAUGAGAUACGUUAGCGCCCUUCUUGGGUUCGGUGACCUUUUCAAAAAGAAAAAAAAAGAGAUUUUGAGAAAGUGUUAAACUCUAACACAUUUGCUAUCUCUUGUUCAGUUAGUUUAAAGUGGUUGGUUUGUGGCAUUUUGGCUGGUCCUCCAUAUUGCACCAAGUCACAGAGAACGUUAUGGCCAUCAAGGAUACCGAGUUUAUUAUCACUAAUCAGAUAGGGAGUUCAGGAAAUGAGAAUUUAGGAUCUAAUGAAGAGAUUCAAAAAUUAAGACAACAAAUGAUAGAGAUGCAUCGAGCUUAGGCUAAUGGGUUGCCACCUCCCUCAGUUCCCACUAAUAAUCUGGAAUAUCUUUCUGGCUUGCCUCCCAUGUCACAUGCACAAUUUCUCAUUUUUGUUGAUAUGCCACAAUAUGCAUUAGGAUCGAUUUCGGGGCAACAAUAUCCAACCACUUCUAAUGUUCAUUUCCUCACUCCCCAAUCCAAGACUACCACAUACGCGGCUUCACCUGUUGUUCAUGCUUUUGCGUCGCCAUCCCCACCUAAAGCUCCUACUUUUGAUGUUUAUCCACGAGUUGCGCCUCCCUACUCUACAAGAGAUCCUACAUUGAAUAUUACUGGCGAUCAGCGUUACACUUUCAACCUACAUUCAAGUUAACUGUUGUUUAUGGUGACACUCACCCGCCUGAAUUUACUCCUAACACUGAGAAGCCUGUUAUGACAGAAGAACAAGAGGAAAUGACCAAGAAAUUGAGAAGUUUGGAACUGGAUAUGAAGAACUUGCAAGGACUUGGGGGUUACAAAAGUGUCUCAUAUAAGGACUUAUGCAUGUUUCCAGGUGUCAACCUUCUUUCUGGCUUUAAAAUGCCAAAGUUUGACAAGUAUGAUGGACAUGGGGACCCAGUGGCACAUUUGAGGCGCUAUUGUAACCAAUUAAGGGGUGAUGGAGAGAAGGAAGAACUACUCAUGGCUUAUUUCGAGGAGAGUCUUUCAGUCCUAGCUUCGGAAUAGUUUGUUGACCAAGACAUUGACAAAUGGAUUAGUUGGGAUGACCUAGCUAAUGGAUUUGUGCAACAAUUUCAAUACAAUGUGGAGUUGAUCCCUGACGAAAAAUCCCUAACUAGUAUAAAAAAGAAGAAUACUGACAGUUUCAAGGAGUAUGCGACCAGAUGGUUCGAACAAGCUGCUAGAGUAAAACCGUCAAUGAAAGAAAGCAAAAUAGUGGAGGUGUUUAUUCAAGCGCAGUAUGAAAUAUAUUAUCAACACUUGUUACUUGCAUUAGGCAAGCCAUUUAUUAAGGUCCUUAAAAUGGGGGAGAUGAUAGAAGAGGGAAUUAAGAUUGGUCACAUUGUGAGUUUUGCAAUAUUAAAAGCGACAACUCAAGCAAUUCAAAAGGGUUCAGGAAGUGUUGGGGAGACAAAGAAUGAGGAAGAUGCAUCUUCUGUUGUAGUUGGAUAGCGGGCACCGUCAAGAAGACCCCGUUGUCGUCAAUCUCAGGUUCAAACCCAAGUUCAUGCCCAAGCUCUACAUAAUCACUCCCAAAAUCCAUUAUACUUAGCUCCUCUACCUCCGUAUCCAGUAUAUAAUGCACAGCCACAUGUUCAACCCCCAUGUUACCCACAGUGAAACACACCAACUCCUCAGAGUCGUCCUCUAACUCCACAAACAUACCAAAACCCUUCUAAGCCUGAUUUUUGAUCCAAGUCAAAUGAUGAAAUGAGGCAGAAGUUGAGAGAUAACUUCACACUAAUUGGAGAGUUGUAUGCCAGUUUAUUUCAGAUAUUAGUACAAUGGGGCAUGAUCACUCCUCUCCUUGGGUGCACUCUUAAUCGAUAUUUAAGAAAUUUUGAUCCUAAUGUACAAUGUGCGUAUCAUUCUAAUGCUCAGGGUCAUAGUAUUGAAGAUUGUCGAGAUUUGAAAAGAGAAAUUGAAAAGAUGAUUCAAGAUGGAUCAAUUAUGGUGCAGAACAUUGACAGUGAGGAAAACUCUAGUCAUGCUGAUAUGCAAACCAGUGGCUAAGAUGUCAGGCUGAGCAAUUGAGAAGUCACCCCUCUCCAUACUAGGAAGAGGUCUGGUAGUUUGUUUUGUUUUAUUUUCUGUUAUCCGAAUUACCUCAAGGUUGUAGUUCGAGAUCUAGCUUGUUUUGUCCUUUUGUCGUUUAUGUUCAAACCCUUCUAUCUUUUAUUUCAACUAAAUGAAGUGUCUCAUUUUCCUUUGUGUUUUAAAUAUGUUUUUUUUUGUUUGUUUUCUUUCCACAGUACAUUUUAUGCUGACUCUAGUGAUAUGACAUGCUAGCGGAAUUAUCAGCCAGAUCUUCAAAUUCGAUUUAAGUAUGAAUAUUGAAUUAGAGGUUUGAGUUAGUUAAAGAGAACACUGAGGAAAUAGGUAGAGUGCUGAGAUAUUUGGUGACAAGUUGAAGCCUUCUUCGAAAAUUAAGGCAAUUAUUUUGCGAAUCACAAGAAUAACUUGGUCAUCAAUUGAAAGACAUGUCUCAAUUAGGUCAAAUAGUGUCUGCGUGAACAGAAUGAAAAUCGGCUCCACAAAAUCAUGAGUCAUUAAAGUAGAGUUGUAUGCUAGAAAAGCGCAGAAGAAGUAGUGACGCACAGACUCAAUCAAAGUUAAUGUUGUAAAAAAUGUCGCACAUGAUCUUCAUCUCCAACUUUAAAAUUGCAUGUUAUGUACUUGCAUUUUCAAAGAUUGAUAUGACGAAGGCAUUUCAUUUUGUUAUCCAAACAUUGUGUCAUCCUUUAUUUAUCCCAUUUGAGCCUUAGUUUUAUUUUCUUUCAUACACCUCUUUUGGAAUCAAUAUAGAGUCAACAAAGCUCAAAAGAAAAGGUGUCGAGCAAAACAGUAGAGUCAGAAAAGUUUCAAAAAAUAAAAGAGAAAAAGAAGUGUGUCGAGAAAAAUAAAGUCAGAAAAGUCCCAAAGAGAAAAAGAGUCAACAAAAGAAAAAAAAUAAGAGUCAAGCAAAAGAACAAGCAGCCAGAACUACGCGUGACCUGAUUCUCCUCUCGCGGGGGUGAGAUAUGUAGGCUGCCUUACUCUGGGCUCAAUCCAACCAAAUUAAAUUUAGAAUUACCCAGUCAAAAUAAACUGGGGUAUGAGUUAAUCCUCAUUGUUUGAGUCGAUUCCAAAAGUUGUAAGUCCUACCCCACUUUUAGUAUCGUUUGGGCCCCAUGCCAUCCUUUCUUUCUAACCCUAUCCAAAAGUCAAGUUACAACCAAAGAAAGACCUUCAGAUCAAUCUUUGAGGAUGUUAAGGAUAAGCAUGCAAGGGAUGUGACGAUGCAUUUGGGAACUACUUGUCUUCCUCAGCAUAAGAAAACAAAAGAGAAAUAAAAAUGAGAGUCUUAUUGGUGAAAACCCUCACGGGCACCUUAAGACGAUGGUAAGUUGAUAGAGAUAAAAAAUGAGAGAGUCUUAUUGGUGAAAACUCUCAUCAGCACCGUAAGACUAUUGUGAGUUGAGAGAAAUGAAGAUAAAAGAGUCUCAUUAGUGAAAACUCCUCACGAACGCCAUAGAAAGAUGGUGAGCUGAGAAAAAAAAAAUGAAUGAGGCUUAUAAUCAAAAACCCUUCAAGGCGCCACUAGUCGAAUGAGGUUUCCGAAUGCACUGGCCCCAAGGAAGUAACUCUAUUUCAAGGCUGUCAACUCAACAACAAUUGGUAGAAGUUUGGAUGGAAAGAUCAAGAAGCUUAAUCCAAAAUGCAUGACAUAAUUAUUAGAGUUGACUGUCUUUUCUAGAUAAAUUUUCAUUUCUUUGUUUCAAAUUGGGACAGUCAUUGUAUUUUCUUUUCUUGAGUUAGUUAACCAAAUAAAAAAGCAUUAUCAUUUUUUCUCUUGUCUUUGAGUCAAGUCCAUAUAAAAAAAUAAGUGAGAAAAGAUUUCAAAACUGGCUACCAGCUUCGUUAAUUGCACAAAGCAAGACAAUAGCCAGCACAUGAAAGAGACAUGAUUGUGAGCCAAAAAAGGACAUGCAGAAAGUUUUGUCAAUAGAUAAGUUUAGGAACCCAUGGAAAUACCAAGUCGCAAAGGGUUUAUCUGAGAAACAUGGCAAAGCAAAAAUACUGUAUUUGUUUCAGAGUCACUCUUAAUAACCUGAGUUUGGGUCAAUGAUGUAGCAAGUCAAUAAUGCAUGCUAACGGUUGGAAGCAAGGUUAAAUGUGAUGAUGGCAAGAACGUUUGCCACAAAAGCCAAAGCCACAAACCAUCCACCAUGUUCUUAAACUCACAACCUUUCUUUGCAUGAAACAGGAACACAUGUUACCUUCAAAUCAAGGAUUUCAAAGCCUAAAUAUCAAGGCCCGUAAUUUCUCACUUUUAAAAAUGCAGGAAGCAAUGUUGUUGCACAAGUUUGAUAAUUAAAUCAUGGUAAAAUUCAUCAUCUUAUAUCACUCGGAGACAUACUUUCUUGUCCAGGGAUUUCAGUUUUUAUUUUACUGGGUGAUACACUUCUUAAUUGAACCUUCACUUCUAGAAGACGUAUCUUUUAGUCGAGUCAUUCCCUUUGAUUCCUAUAAGACGUACCUUUUAGUCGAGUCAUUCCCUUUGAUUCCUAUAAGACGUACCUUUUAGUCAAGUCAUCUCCCUUGAUUCCUAAUAAGACGUACCUUUUAGUCAAGUCAUCACCUUUGAUUCCUAUAAGACGUACCUUUUAGUCGAGUCAUCUCCCUCGAUUCCUAGUAAGAUGCACCUUUUAGUUGAGUAAUUUUCUUUGAUUCCUAUAGGACGUACCUUUUAGUCGAGUCAUUCCCUUUGACCCCUAGAAGACGUACCUUUUAGUCGAGCUAUCUCCCUUGAUUACUUAAGACAUACAUUUUAGUCGAGUUAUUCCCUUUGAUUCCUAUAAGAGGAACCUUUUAGUCGAGUCAUUCCCUUUGAUUCCUAUAAAAUGUACCUUUUAGUCGAGUCACUCCCUUGAUUCUUAUAAGAUGUACCUUUUAGUCGAGUCAUUUUCCUUGACCCCUAGUAAGGCGUACCUUUUAGUCGAGUCAUUCCCUUGAUUCCUAGAAAGAUGUACCUUAUAAUCGAGUCAUUCUCCUUGAUUCCUAUAAUGAUGUGACUUUCGUAAAAGUCCUUUGAUGAUAAACUAGGACAAAAUUUAAUUCUUGUGUUGGAACUUCACUUUUUUGACAAAUAAAACCUCUUUAUAAUAAUCUUUGUUUGGGAUAAUUUUCUUUUUAGUUUUGAUGUGAUUUCAGGAGCCCGCCUGAAGAGCAAAGCGAAUAAAUGAAAAGUUAAGCAACAUGGUGAAGAAUUUAAAAGUUAACAGAUUGAUGAAAUAGCAAGUCAGGAGCCCACCUGAAGAACAGGAUGAUGAAAUUGCAAGUCAGGAGCCCGCCUGAAGAACAAGGUGAUAAAAUUGCAAGUCAAGAGCCCGCCUGAAGAACAGGGUGAUGAAAUGGAAAGUCAGAAUCCCGCCCGAAGCACAGAGCAAAUAAAUGGAAAGUUAAGCAACAAGGUGAAGCAAUUGAAGACGAAGCAACAAGUGAUAAAAUUGCAAGUCAGGAGCCCGCCUGAAGAAUAGGGUGAUGAAACUUAAGUCAGGAGUCUAACAGAAGCUGUAUAGAUAGGAUUUUGUAAUUUCAUUUAUGUUUUAUCUUUGUAAUUUUCAUUUUGAUGUAAUGACAGAGCCGCGGAACGAAACCUCUAUGGAACCUCACUCGACUCUCCAACUCGGUAUAGUCCAUUUCCUUACAAUCCUUUGAGAUACGUGUCAAUUGAUUUAUUCAUAACUUGGGUAGGUAGGAUGUCCUAAGUCAAGAUCCGGUUGCUCUUCUUCCUUCUGUUUCGUUCCUUAAAUAAUGGUCGGGUCAAAAUUUGGUCUCGUUGUCUACUUCUUUAUCUGAAAAUACUUCGUGUUUACAUUCAAAGGGGGCAUGAUGUAGACACCUAAUUUUGUCCCUCCCAAAGACCAAAGUUAUUCAUUUUUACCCCUAUCUUACUGUGUUCCCUCACCCGUGUGAUUAUGUUCCACAAAAAUAACAAAAAUUCAAUAAAUCCAUUCCCUAUCCUAACAAACAUUUUCCUAAAAAACUCAUCCACCUCACUACCCUACCCUACGCUACUCUACUACCCCACCCUACCGAACUACCCCCUUUACACAUUUUUUUCCACAAAGUAAAGGGAUUAGAAAAGGGGAGAACACAUAGAAACAGGGGAUGCUCCCAGAUUUCUCCAUUGGAGAACAGACAAUACGCACACACACACAAUACCAUACAUACAUACACUUUCACAGAAGAAGAUAAGCACACGACACACAGAUAUACACCUUUGAUGGGAGAGAAUGGGAGCGGUUUUGGAGUGAGAUUGAGAAAAGAAGAGAGGUCGAGAGAGGAGAAGAGUGACAGGGGUUAACUUCUCUAGCGAGGUUCUCUUCAGAAAGUGCCAUUAUCAUUGAAAUUUCUUCCAUCCUCCCUUUCCCCUCAUUGUCUAAGCUCUCCGGAGCUCCGGCGAGAUGAAAACUACACCUCAAUCCAAAGAUACUCCUUCCCCGACCCCAAAGCCACCAGAAAGCACCAUCCAUGAGCUACCAGUAGCCUCGUCACUUCUCAGUUAAGAAACUGACUCAAAAUUAUGGUCGACGUUCGGAGUUGUGGUCGGAUUUAAUUUCGGUUUUGCUCGAAUUUCUCAUUUGUUCUAAGUUUCCAAUCAGCUUUUGGGGAAUUAUAUAAAAAUUGGGGUUCGAGACUUGGAGGUUGAUAUCUGAGGUCGGGUUGUUACCGAGGUUUCGGAUCGAGGUUCUUGGGCACGCAGAUUCGUCUUCUCAAUUGACUAAUAUUCGGAGUAAAAUUAUCAUUGAAGUCCAUUUCUACUCCUUUCCUCUUUUAAUUUCAUUGUUGAUGGAAUAUGGUGCACUGAAUGGAAUCUGUGUGUUGUUUGAUCUUGAUUUUGAUUAGUGAUGAAUUGCUACUUUGACAUUAACUUGUUUCUUAAUUUUAUUGAAAUAGAAAUUGUGAAUUGAGAAAAAUUAGCGUUAAAAGGAAAUUUGGGGGUGAAAAUUGAAAACUUGAUAUAAUCGGUGAAUUUUGGUUAGUUUGAUUCAUAGGUUGUUUGACUUGAAAUGAACGUUAAUUGAACUUGAUAGUAUCAUGAUACGUCGAUUAGUUUAGGCAAACAUAGGUUGGGUAGGAAAAGUUUAGAAUUUGUGGCUUUGGUUGAAUCUUGGAAAUUUUGUGGAAUGUUUGAAAUUUUGUUGAAUAGUUUGAUUUU